CGCUAGUUGACGGCACCUGGUCGGCUGCGAGACGCUCACCACGCCAACUCAAUAUGAGGCGACGGUGUGCAGGAACCCGGUGUGAUUCCGGGACGGUCCCGCCACUGUGACCGAGGAGUCUUCCUCCGCUCGGAGAACCACUGCCCGCUCAUCGCGGGUGGGAAGGUCCGGGGGAAGGCGGUGAUCCGGGAGUCAGGACACUGACCCGUCGUCCUCCCAUAUCC
rnacentral:ncRNA from 21 species